AACUUUGGUGUGAAGGUUUAGCUGUUGAACCUUUCCCAUGCUUCUCCAAAGCCUUCAAGAUUCCUUUGAUGAAAUCCAGAGAUUUCAUUCCUUAGCU
rnacentral:snoRNA from 1 species